GAUGAACGCUGGCGGCGUGCCUAAUACAUGCAAGUCGAGCGAACAGAUGAGGAGCUUGCUCCUCUGACGUUAGCGGCGGACGGGUGAGUAACACGUGGAUAACCUACCUAUAAGACUGGGAUAACUUCGGGAAACCGUAGCUAAUACCGGAUAAUAUAUUGAACCGCAUGGUUCAAUAGUGAAAGACGGUUUUGCUGUCACUUAUAGAUUGAUCCGCGCCGCAUUAGCUAGUUGGUAAGGUAACGGCUUACCAAGGCAACGAUGCGUAGCCGACCUGAGAGGGUGAUCGGCCACACUGGAACUGAGACACGGUCCAGACUCCUACGGGAGGCAGCAGUAGGGAAUCUUACGCAAUGGGCGAAAGCCUGACGGAGCAACGCCGCGUGAGUGAUGAAGGUCUUCGGAUCGUAAAACUCUGUUAUUAGGGAAGAACAAAUGUGUAAGUAACUAUGCACGUCUUGACGGUACCUAAUCAGAAAGCCACGGCUAACUACGUG
rnacentral:rRNA from 1 species